UGGAUAGCUCAGUCGGAUAGAGCAUCAGGUCCCACCUGAGUGUCGCGGGUUCGAAUCCCGCUCCAA
rnacentral:tRNA from 1 species